AGCAGCCGCGGUAAUUCCAGCUCCAAUAGCGUAUAUUAAAGUUGUUGCAGUUAAAAAGCUCGUAGUUGAAUUUCGGGACCAAUAUGUCGGUCGUGCUUCGGUACGUACUUGCAUUAUUGGUUUCUCCCUUCUGAAGAACCAUGAUGUCAUUAAUUUGGUGUCUUGGGGAAUCAGGACUGUUACUUUGAAAAAAUUAGAGUGUUUAAAGCAGGCUCACGCUUGAAUACAUUAGCAUGGAAUAAUGAAAUAGGACGUUUGAUUCUAUUUUGUUGGUUUCUAGGAUCGACGUAA
rnacentral:rRNA from 1 species